rnacentral:lncRNA from 1 species
UAGCGCUAAUUUCACCUGAACACGGUCAGACAGGUGGUGGGGUGUCGAUUGGAGUUAAUAAUUAGUGUUGAUUAGCGUUAAUUUCACCUGAAGACGGCCAGGCACGUGGCCGGGUGUCGAUUGGGGUUAGUAAUUAGCGUUAAUUAGCAUUAAUUAGCGUUAAUUUCACCUGAACACGGCCAGACAGGUGGCCGGGUGCUCAUUAGUGUUGUAAUUAGUGUUAAUUAGCGUUAAUUAGCGUUAAUUUCACCUGAACACGGCCAGGCACGUGGCCGGGUGUCGAUUUGGGUUAGUAAUUACCAUUAAUUAGCAUUAAUUAGCGUUAAUUUCACCUGAACACAGCCAGACACGUGGCCGGGUGUCG